UACGGAGGGUGCAAGCGUUAUCCGGAUUUAUUGGGUUUAAAGGGUCCGUAGGCGGAUCUGUAAGUCAGUGGUGAAAUCUCACAGCUUAACUGUGAAACUGCCAUUGAUACUGCAGGUCUUGAGUGUUAUUGAAGUAGCUGGAAUAAGUAGUGUAGCGGUGAAAUGCAUAGAUAUUACUUAGAACACCAAUUGCGAAGGCAGGUUACUAAGCAACAACUGACGCUGAGGGACGAAAGCGUGGGGAGCGAACAGG
rnacentral:rRNA from 1 species